UACGUAGGGGGCUAGCGUUGUCCGGAUUUAUUGGGCGUAAAGAGCGUGUAGGCGGCCAUGUAGGUCCGGUGUGAAAACUCGAGGCUUAACCUCGAGAUGUCAUCGGAAACCACUUGGCUAGAGUCCGGAAGAGGAGAGUGGAAUUCCUGGUGUAGCGGUGAAAUGCGCAGAUAUCAGGAAGAACACCAAUGGCGAAAGCAGCUCUCUGGGACGGUACUGACGCUGAGACGCGAAAGCGUGGGGAGCGAACAGG
rnacentral:rRNA from 1 species